rnacentral:rRNA from 1 species
CCCUUGUGGUGUGACUGCGUACCUUUUGUAUAAUGGGUCAGCGACUUAUAUUCUGUAGCAAGGUUAACCGUAUAGGGGAGCCGCAGGGAAACCGAGUCUUAACUGGGCGUUAAGUUGCAGGGUAUAGACCCGAAACCCGGUGAUCUAGCCAUGGGCAGGUUGAAGGUUGGGUAACACUAACUGGAGGACCGAACCGACUAAUGUUGAAAAAUUAGCGGAUGACCUGUGGCUGGGGGUGAAAGGCCAAUCAAACCGGGAGAUAGCUGGUUCUCCCCGAAAGCUAUUUAGGUAGCGCCUCGUGAACUCAUCUCCGGGGGUAGAGCACUGUUUCGGCUAGGGGGCCAUCCCGGCUUACCAACCCGAUGCAAACUGCGAAUACCGGAGAAUGUUAUCACGGGAGACACACGGCGGGUGCUAACGUCCGUCGUGAAGAGGGAAACAACCCAGACCGCCAGCUAAGGUCCCAAAGUCAUGGUUAAGUGGGAAACGAUGUGGGAAGGCACAGACAGCCAGGAUGUUGGCUUAGAAGCAGCCAUCAUUUAAAGAAAGCGUAAUAGCUCACUGGUCGAGUCGGCCUGCGCGGAAGAUGUAACGGGGCUAAACCAUGCACCGAAGCUGCGGCAGCGACACUAUGUGUUGUUGGGUAGGGGAGCGUUCUGUAAGCCGUUGAAGGUGUGCUGUGAGGCAUGCUGGAGGUAUCAGAAGUGCGAAUGCUGACAUAAGUAACGAUAAAGCGGGUGAAAAGCCCGCUCGCCGGAAGACCAAGGGUUCCUGUUCAACGUUAAUCGGAGCAGGGUGAGUCGACCCCUAAGGCGAGGCCGAAAGGCGUAGUCGAUGGGAAACAGGUUAAUAUUCCUGUACUCGGUGUUACUGCGAAGGGGGGACGGAGAAGGCUAUAUCAGCCGGGCGACGGUUGUCCCGGUUUAAGCGUGUAGGCGGAGGGUCCAGGUAAAUCCGGACUCUUUUAACGCUGAGGCGUGAUGACGAGGCACUACGGUGCUGAAGUGAUAAAUGCCCUGCUUCCAGGAAAAGCCUCUAAGCAUCAGGUAACACAGAAUCGUACCCCAAACCGACACAGGUGGUCAGGUAGAGAAUACCAAGGCGCUUGAGAGAACUCGGGUGAAGGAACUAGGCAAAAUGGUGCCGUAACUUCGGGAGAAGGCACGCUGGCGCGUAGGUGAAGGGACUUGCUCCCGGAGCUGAAGCCAGUCGAAGAUACCAGCUGGCUGCAACUGUUUAUUAAAAACACAGCACUGUGCAAACACGAAAGUGGACGUAUACGGUGUGACGCCUGCCCGGUGCCGGAAGGUUAAUUGAUGGGGUUAUCCGUAAGGAGAAGCUCUUGAUCGAAGCCCCGGUAAACGGCGGCCGUAACUAUAACGGUCCUAAGGUAGCGAAAUUCCUUGUCGGGUAAGUUCCGACCUGCACGAAUGGCGUAAUGAUGGCCAGGCUGUCUCCACCCGAGACUCAGUGAAAUUGAACUCGCUGUGAAGAUGCAGUGUACCCGCGGCAAGACGGAAAGACCCCGUGAACCUUUACUACAGCUUGACACUGAACAUUGAGCCUUGAUGUGUAGGAUAGGUGGGAGGCUUUGAAGCGCGGACGCCAGUCUGCGUGGAGCCAUCCUUGAAAUACCACCCUUUAAUGUUUGAUGUUCUAACGUGGCCCCGUGAUCCGGGGUGCGGACAGUGUCUGGUGGGUAGUUUGACUGGGGCGGUCUCCUCCCAAAGAGUAACGGAGGAGCACGAAGGUCAGCUAAUCACGGUCGGACAUCGUGAGGUUAGUGCAAUGGCAUAAGCUGGCUUGACUGCGAGAGUGACGGCUCGAGCAGGUGCGAAAGCAGGUCAUAGUGAUCCGGUGGUUCUGAAUGGAAGGGCCAUCGCUCAACGGAUAAAAGGUACUCCGGGGAUAACAGGCUGAUACCGCCCAAGAGUUCAUAUCGACGGCGGUGUUUGGCACCUCGAUGUCGGCUCAUCACAUCCUGGGGCUGAAGUAGGUCCCAAGGGUACGGCUGUUCGCCGUUUAAAGUGGUACGCGAGCUGGGUUUAGAACGUCGUGAGACAGUUCGGUCCCUAUCUGCCGUGGGCGCUGGAGAAUUGAGGGGGGUUGCUCCUAGUACGAGAGGACCGGAGUGAACGCACCACUGGUGUUCGGGUUGUCAUGCCAAUGGCACUGCCCGGUAGCUAAGUGCGGAAAAGAUAAGUGCUGAAAGCAUCUAAGCACGAAACUUGCCCCGAGAUGAGUUCUCCCUGAC